rnacentral:rRNA from 1 species
UACGUAGGGGUCUAGCGUUGUCCGGAAUCAUUGGGCGUAAAGAGCUCGUAGGCGGCCAACUAAGUCAGACGUGAAAUCCCUCGGCUUAACCGGGGAACUGCGUCUGAUACUGGAUGGCUAGAGGUUGGGAGAGGGAUGCGGAAUUCCAGGUGUAGCGGUGAAAUGCGUAGAUAUCUGGAGGAACACCGGUGGCGAAGGCGGCAUCCUGGACCAAUUCUGACGCUGAGGAGCGAAAGCCAGGGGAGCAAACGGG